CACGUAGGGCGCAAGCGUUGUCCGGAAUUAUUGGGCGUAAAGAGCUCGUAGGCGGUCUGUUGCGUCCGCUGUGAAAACUCGGGGCUUAACCCCGAGCCUGCAGUGGAUACGGGCAGACUAGAGGUAGGUAGGGGAGAAUGGAAUUCCCGGUGUAGCGGUGAAAUGCGCAGAUAUCGGGAGGAACACCAGUGGCGAAGGCGGCUCACUGGACCGGUACUGACGCUGAAGCGCGAAAGCGUGGGGAGCAAACGGG
rnacentral:rRNA from 1 species